GACGAACGCUGGCGGCGUGCUUAACACAUGCAAGUCGAACGGAAAGGCCCCUUUGGGGGUACUCGAGUGGCGAACGGGUGAGUAACACGUGAGUAACCUGCCCUUGACUUCGGGAUAACUUCAGGAAACUGGGGCUAAUACCGGAUAGGAAUCCUUGCUGCAUGGUGGGGGUUGGAAAGCUUCGGCGGUUUUGGAUGGACUCGCGGCUUAUCAGCUUGUUGGUGGGGUAGUGGCUUACCAAGGCUUUGACGGGUAGCCGGCCUGAGAGGGCGACCGGCCACAUUGGGACUGAGAUACGGCCCAGACUCCUACGGGAGGCAGCAGUGGGGAAUAUUGCACAAUGGGCGGAGGCCUGAUGCAGCAACGCCGCGUGCGGGAUGACGGCCUUCGGGUUGUAAACCGCUUUCAGCAGGGGCGAAGCUUUUGUGACGGUACCUGCAGAAGAAGCACCGGCUAACUACGU
rnacentral:rRNA from 1 species